GAUGAAGAACGUAGCGAACUGCGAUAAGUAAUGUGAAUUGCAGAAUUCAGUGAAUCAUCGAGUCUUUGAACGCACAUUGCGCCCCCUGGCAUUCCGGGGGGCAUGCCUGUCCGAGCGUCAUUGCUGCCCUUCAAGCCCGGCUUGUGUGUUGGGUCGUCGUCCCCCCCGGGGGACGGGCCCGAAAGGCAGCGGCGGCACCGCGUCCGGUCCUCGAGCGUAUGGGGCUUUGUCACCCGCUCGAUUAGGGCCGGCCGGGCGCCAGCCGGCGUCUCCAACCUUCUAUUUUACAAGGUUGACCUCGGAUCAGGUAGGGAUACCCGCUGAACUUAAGCAUAUCAAUAAGCGGAGGA
rnacentral:misc_RNA from 1 species